CAACACUGGAUUAUACUCCCUCAUUGACUAAUUACUUCUUCACUCCCCUACAGCUGCCUCACUGCAUCUAAUUCUGCUUUGUUUUCCUGCAUAUUGUCCUGCUGCUGAGUGCCAGGCUAGAGGGGCUCCAACAAAUGAAGCCCUUUCACUGCUUCAACCGUCUUUUGCAUCUGCCUCAGCAGCCUUCCCUGUGUGUUGCUGCCCUUGUGUGAAGCUGCUGCACAGAAAGUGAUGGAGAGGAGGCUCAUGGUAAAGGGAUUUUUAUAUACAAGGCUACCUUCCUCCAAAACCUCAGCAUCAUGGUCAGUUCAUAGCAAAAACUGCAGCUCAUCUCUCAAAGCCUAGAAAAAAAACUCUACAACAGCUCAGUACAACACAAUGGACAAACUGAACAGGAACGAAAGAGGGGAAGGAAGGAAAAAAGGACAGAAGGAUGGAAGGAAAGCUGAAAGGAAGACAAAAAAAGCAAAAAAGAAAAAGAAAAGAACAGCCGUCCCCUUUAUCUGAGUUAUUUUCAACUAAGAAAUGUGAGUUACAACAUCACUUGGACUCAUCACAAUACACUGCGAUGUUGGAUACAGCCUUUGGUAUAAGGAACGAUUUCCUCCUUCUCCCACUCUCUGACCUGACCCAGGAAAACCAGAGUGAGGCUGGAGCAAGGGGACAUGUGUGAACAUUUUUCUAUGGAGUUGUCCACUGAACACGGUAUGGGUGUUGGGGUAGAGAGUAAGAGUUUGAUCACAUCCCUGAACUGUUUGACUUGUUGGUCCAGUAAAGGCUCUCACAUUACCCACCUCACAAAGACUGUUUGCUUGCCUCGUCUUUAUGUAUAAUCAGUCACAUGUCUAGGAGACCAGAUGUCUAGGAUACCUGAAGAUUGAAGGUGCUUUGUUUAUCUUGCUCAAAAUCACUUGUUCUUCUGUA
rnacentral:lncRNA from 1 species